GGUGUAUAAAGUUAACCAGAGCUCGUAUCGUCGAGACAGGCGCGCGGUGCCUGGAGCUGUUGGAACGCCAACUGUGGCGAGACCGCCUGGAGUGCGAAGGGUUAAACGCAAUCGCGGAAGUUGAACAUUGUGUUCAUACGUUACGUAAACGUUUCACGGUCUCCGGACUGCUCGCUCGUCGAUAAGACGAAAUACGUAUACUGGGAAUCGUGUACGCAGGAAACUGUUGCGUGGCGUUUUCGAUAAUGCGAAUUAAAUCGACGCGGACGCGGAGGUGUGAACGAAAGAACGUUCGCGGUGCAAAUGCGGUUUAACGAUCGACGACACGCGGCCGACGCGGCGCGACUCGCCCACUCUCAUCGGCCGGAAAACUGCGAUAUCAUCCUUCUGCAGCGCGAUGAUCUUGACAGUGACCGCCUGGCGAUCAAUGGCGCCGUCAUUUAGAGGAGAAUCGCGUUCCCGCGCGCUUCGCUGCGCCAUUUGUUAGCGGGAUCGACAGGACCGUGGAUCUAUAGAGAUCUAUAGUAUAUCCAGAUCGCUAGCACUUGUUGUUUUAGUACAUAAAAAGAGCCUGAGGUACAUGAAUUAUUCGGCGCAGGCGUCAAAUAAAAUUUUUGAGGUUUAUUUAUAAGAAGUAUGUUAGUAUGGUUCGAUGCUAAAGUCACUGGUAUUUGUAUAAUACAGAUAAAUGUUUAUCAAGUACAUACAAAAACACGCAUGUAUGCAAUAAGUAGACUGUGAUUUUCUAUAGACAUUUAUAGAAAAUUUGAAUGUACAGGAACCUACAAAAUGCAAACAGUAUGCAAAAACUAUAAAAAAGAUUGAGAGUAAAGUUCAUGUUGUAAUGAAUAAUGAUGCAUUUAUAGGAAAUUUGAAUGCGCAAGAACUUAAAAAUGCAAACAGUAUGCAAUAAUAUAAAGAAGAUCGAAAGUAAAGUUCGUGUUAUAAUAUUUGUAGGAUAAAAUAAAUUCCUAUUUAGGUGCAAUUUUUGUGGGCACGUCCGCCAAGAUUUUAUUUUGCAUAAAGAUCCGCAGUCUAGCGAUAUGUUUCUGUAGCAUAUAUUCUUGCGGCCAUAUACUGAGGCUUCCUUAGCGAUGUAGAUACAGUAUAGAUAUUUGUAAGCUCGACACGGAUGCUCGGCUUUGUUAAAGUCGCACUCGGGCUCGUCGAACGAAAGUAAAGAAAUAUCCAACGGACAAAGGACAUACUACCAAAGUUUGACCAGAAAAUCGUUAACGACAGCCUCGAUUCAGCGUGACGUAACGUUAUUCAAACCGAAAAUGAUGAAGCGAAACGAGUAUCGAUGCGUAAAACGCGCGUGCAUACAGCUCGAGUGGAAGACACGUGCGUGGAGGUGAUGUAUGAGCUAGCAUAGAAGACAGAAACAGAGGAGAAACUACCGCAUGAGAGAUAGAAAAAGCGACUGCAAGAGAAGAUGAAGAAAGACGCGAAACAGCGAGAAGGCGAACGAGCGAACGAGAAAGAGAGACGCUAAGGACUACAGCCGUUUAUUGGCAGAGGUGAACGACACUGCCUAUUGCAAGGUGGAUGCCUGUAUUUCGCAUAACCGCUCGUCGUUGGAACGUGCCACGAGUUUAUGGGUCACUACAUACUGUUUGUAAGUACCUUCACACGAAAAUAGUGUGAGCGGUUCGAGUCUGAAUUGGUCAUGCAUUCGGAAGCCGACGAAAGUUGAGCUUACAAUUAAUGAAGUUGGCACCCCCAAAUGCAAAUUUUGAUCAAAAUCAAAUUACAUUCGUUUGUCCACGUUUGUCCAACCACAAUUUUCAUUUCUCCGCCUUUCAGAAAAAAGUUACGGUAAAGUUACAAUAAUUAUAGAGAACAGGUACAUCUUCACCGAUUUCGAUGAUUUUUGAAUAUGUUGUAGAAAUCAACAUUUUGAACAACUUUUUCCUAUACAUAUAACCGUCGCUCGGCCUCAGUUUCCGAGAUAUUUGCACUCUUUGUUCAAUUAAAAAACUUACAGGUCCUCAAUCAUAGAUUGAACGACAGUGGUUGAAAAACCGGCUUACUAACAUACAGGAAAGGCAAAACUAUUUGAUUAUUAACGCAAAACUGAUCUCAUAGCUCAACAUCCAAUGUAAUCACACGCAAAAUGUAUCCAUACUCGCUCACUUCCGUUUGAUUACAUUUAAUAGUGAAAAACGAAACCGGAAUGGUUUUCAACCAUAAAAUAAAUCAGUGUAUCAUAUCUACCGUAUAUAGUCAAAUAUUCACGCAAGUUCAUUUUUAAUCCUUUGAAAGCAGUCCGUUCAGUAACGACGUCAGUCUAAAUUAAAUUUUUUCUUUAUUUAAAAAUCAACGAAAUCGGUGAAGAUGUACCUGUUCUCUACAAUUACCAAAGUUACGCCACAAACAAGCCAUUUGAAGUCAACACACCUAUAUAGACCUUAUUUAGGGUUUCCUUAAAAAAUGUGUCUUUGUCCAACAAGUAUUUUCGUUUGUCCCCCCUCCAGAAGAAAGAUACACUUCAAUUAAGGAAUCCUCGUUGUCAAUCGUUUUGUCAAUUUCGUAGCUAAUUAUUUAUGUCUGCGCAGAACAGAAACACUACUGGUUUUGUCCAGAUGUAAAUAAAUAACUACAAAACUGACAGACUGUAUGCGCCUGAACGCAUUGCUGCAUUUUCUCCUUAAUUGAAGUGUAUCUUUUUUCUGAGGGGUGGAAAAACAAAAGUACUUGUUGGACAAACGAAAAACAUUAGUGGACAAAAUGUGGCGAGACACAUUUUUUAAGAAAACCCUAAAAAAGGUCACAGCAAGUUUACUCGCUCACACCUACUCAACAGACGCCAAUCAUUAAAUUGUGACGAAUGUAACACCCGAAUCACUAUUAACCAUAUCAUCCUUGACUGCCCCAAAUACAACGAAAUCAGGAGGAAGUUAAACAUCCAUAAUAGUAUCACUGAAGCCAACUAUUCUUUCAAAUACCAGGACACCUUAGUAGAAUUCUGCGAGACUAUUGAGUUCUUUAACAAAAUGUAAUAACUCUGUACUGUUUCUGUAAAAAAAAGAAAAUAAUAAUAAUAAAACACCAGAAUGGAAAGCAAGAAAUUUCAAACCAGACAUUAGUAAUCUGAGCAGACGUGAUCAAGUAAUCAUCACUCCAACAUUAAUCGGCCACACCAGACUCACGCAUACCUACUUGUUCUUAACAGAGAGUGCACCCAAAUGUACAGUGUGCAACAAAUUCCUCAGCAUGAAACACAUCCUAUUUAACUGCCAGCAUUUCAAUAGAAUUAGGAAAAACCUCAAGAUCCAAAACAAUAUAAAUGAAAUAAUGAACUCUCGGGACAAUAUCAAAUACUUAAUUAUAUUCCUACAAGAAACCAAAAUCUAUAACAAACUGUAAAAUCACAGAUAACAUAAAUUUGCACAUGUAAAUAAACACACUGUAGUCCCAUCGAGCAGCACAAUGUAAAAUUAUACAUGAUGUUAAAUGUAAAUGUAUAAAGUCGCUCAUGACCAGAGUUGUUAAUGCGACUUAAAACUUUAAUAAUAAAAAAAUAAAAAAUAAAAAAAACACCAGAAUCUACUAAUUCAAUUUUCAUGAAAUCAAACAUUGCUUUUCUCAUCUCGAUUCGAUCGUAUUUAUACCCGAUAUAUUCUAACAUUAAUACGUUAUAAUUAAAAAAAGAACUUGGCACGGGACAAACAUUUUAUAAUACUAUACGUAAUCCGUUUUAUUUUCGAGUCACGAUUGCAACAACGGAAAUAAUGGUUUCUGUUAUAAAUCAACAAUUCGUUCCCGUGCGCGACGUCCAACUGCAAAAGAUAAUAAGCUCGUACAGGUUAUGUAAGAUUGAUUCGAAGGACGAGCAGCAGGGGAACGGCCUGAUCGACAAGAGCGGAAUUAAAAUUCGCAGCUAAUCUUCUUUUGCAGUUAGCAACCGUUGUUCUAUCGUCGUAAAAGAUUUACGAAUCGUCGAAACAGAAUCCUUAGUGGGACCAUAAAAAUACGUGACGUUGACACGCACAUGGUGCGACGGAAAUUUGCAAACGAUAAAAGUUAGAAAUCCAGUUUUCGAACUGUACAGCGUCAUUCAAUUACUCAUACGCGCGAUUAUAUCAUGUUUUGUUAUGGAAUUUUAAGUAGAGUUGUUUAAAAGAACUCGAUUUUUAUUCGAUACGUUGCUGUCAUCGACUCUGUUCGAAACUUAUAUUGCAGGAAAAUCGGUCGAGCAACGUCAACUGACCUCUGCUUUGCUGCUCCUCAUCGAUUUUCAGAACGUACGUCAAUACAAAGUACGCUGGACACAUUCGUAGAAUCGAAAGUUAAUUCUUAAAUUAAUCGAUGAAUUCAAAUGCUUGGCGCUUUCUAUCGCCAUUCCAUUGUAUAUUUAAAAAUAUGAAACAAAUUUUAGUAUUCGAAGUAGUCCAGCUUAGCUUCGAAAAUUUUGAGGUUAAGUUCCAUAACUUCGCGUAUCAAUACAUAUAUCGAGAAUUGCAAUGUACCAUUCAUGAAAACGAUAAUACGUCA